rnacentral:sRNA from 1 species
CCCCCUUUAGGGGGGGGGGGGUCGUGCACGCCGUCGGUGUCGUCCUCAACACAAUCAAAUCCACCUCACCCUUUUGUGCAUCGCCGCGUGGGUUCCGGAAGGGGCCUGCGCCUUUUACACACACAUGAUUCAGUGUAGAAUGUCCUUUGCAUUUGUAUGCAAUCAAUACAACUUUCAACAACGGAUCUCUUGGCUCUCGCAUCGAUGAAGAACGCAGCGAAAUGCGAUACGUAAUGUGAAUUGCAGAAUUCAGUGAAUCAUCGAAUCUUUGAACGCACCUUGCGCCCCUUGGCAUUCCGAGGGGCACACCCGUUUGAGUGUCGUGAAAUCCUCAACCCUUCUUUGUUUCUUUUCGAUUCGAAGAAAGGCUUGGAAUUUGGAGGCUUUUGCUGGCCUUUCUUGAAGCCAGCUCCUCUUAAAUGCAUUAGCAGGGUCUCCUCAGCUGGAUCCCUUGACGUGAUAAGCCUUUUACGUCUCAAAGGGUUUUCUGGCUCUGCCCGCUUCCAAUUGUCUCGUCGAGACAAACCUUUUUGAACCCUAGACCUCAAAUCGGUUUUGGUCAUUUAGAGGAAGUAAGCAUAUCAAUAAGCGGAGGAAAAGAAACUAACAAGGAUUCCCCUAGUAACUGCGAGUGAAGCGGGAAAAGCUCAAAUUUAAAAUCUGGCGGUCUUUGGCCGUUCGAGUGUAA